AGCGAACGCUGGCGGCAGGCUUAAUACAUGCAAGUCGAGCGCCCGUAGCAAUACGGGAGCGGCAGACGGGUGAGUAACACGUGGGAACAUGCCCUUCGGUUCGGAAUAACUCAGGGAAACUUGAGCUAAUACCGGAUACGCCCUUACGGGAAGAUUAUCGCCGAAGGAUUGGCCCGCGUCCGAUUAGCUAGUUGGUGAGGUAACGGCUCACCAAGGCGACGAUCGGUAGCUGGCUGAGAGGAUGAUCAGCCACACUGGGACUGAGACACGGCCCAGACUCCUACGGGAGGCAGCAGUAGGGAAUAUUGGACAAUGGGCGAAAGCCUGAUCCAGCCAUGCCGCGUGGGU
rnacentral:rRNA from 1 species